rnacentral:lncRNA from 12 species
CUAAGAGCUCCGGAGCUGGUGCCAUAGAGCACCGGAGGUCGAGAACCUCACACCCUGCAAGGAAAGCCUGCUCCUGAUGAUCAGGAAAUGAUUUUUCCUGCUGCUUUGUGCUGCCUGUGGGGCUCAGGCUGGUACAGGCGCAUCCCCGGGGACACGGCCGGGGAUGGAUGCGCUGGGGAUUCCCUGCCCGGGUUUUGGGGAUCCCCUGCCCAGCGCUGCUGCUCGGGGGCACUGCCCGGGUUUUGGGGUUUUGGGGUUCAGGGGGGAGCCGAGGAGGUGACUGCAGAGCCAGCGGUGCCCGGCAGGGGCCGACAGAGACCGCGCUGCCCUGCGCUCCGGCCGCGCCAUCGCGACACUCCUGUCGCGACAGGGGGGGCGCUGCCAGCCCCGCCAGGGCAUCCCUGCAGAGCUGGCACCCGCUGGGCUGGGAGGGACAUCAUCCCCAUCCUGCCCCUCCGCCCAGGACAGGGACAGUGCCAGCAGCCCAGGCUGCUCAGAGCCCACCCGGCUCCUGGGCACUUCCAGGGAUCCAGGGGCACCUCAGCAUCUCUGGGCAUCCCGUGCCAGUGCCCCAGCGCCCCCACAGCAAAG